UAGUCCACGCCGUAAACGAUGUCAAUUAGCCGUUGGGAAUCUUGUAUUCUUAGUGGCACAGCUAACGCGAUAAAUUGACCGCCUGGGGAGUACGGCCGCAAGGUUAAAACUCAAAUGAAUUGACGGGGGCCCGCACAAGCGGUGGAGCAUGUGGUUUAAUUCGAUGCAACGCGAAGAACCUUACCAGGUCUUGACAUCCUGAGAACUUUCUAGAGAUAGAUUGGUGCCUUCGGGAACUCAGUGACAGGUGCUGCAUGGUUGUCGUCAGCUCGUGCCGUGAGGUGUUGGGUUAAGUCCCGCAACGAGCGCAACCCCUAUCUUUAGUUGCCAGCGAGUAAUGUCGGGGACUCUAAAGAAACUGCCUGCGCAAGCAGUGAGGAAGGAGGGGACGACGUCAAAUCAUCAUGGCCUUUAUGCCUAGGGCUACACACGUGCUACAAUGGUCGUGACAAAGAGUUGCUAGUCUGCGAAGGCAAGCCAAUCUCAUAAACGCGGCCUU
rnacentral:rRNA from 1 species